GUAGCAGUUUUUGCAUGAUCCUCCUGUAAGUUCUGGUGGAAGCAGUUCGGUAGAUCUGGGAGAUAUCAUUAUCUAUUCAUUCAUAUAAUAAAUGUUCUUGAAUUCCUCUCUAUGCCACACCCAGUGCGCAGCUGUAGGGAUACAGUGGUGCAUAAGACAGACCCCAUUUUCUGCACGGACAGAGCAGUCCAAGGAGCUGGCCAGUGGCACAUAAAGACUGUUCUGACUGCCGUGGAAAGAACGGGCUUUUGGAGUGAGACAACACGGAGCAGCAUAGAUCUCAUUUGGAGUGCAGCAUUUUUAAAAAGCACCUACAUCCUCAAAAAUUAAAAAACAUUCUGGGUCCACCAUAAUUCUUGAUACUACAUUUGUUGAGCAAGUUCCAUCAUAGUCCUGAGCUCUUCCCAAAUGUCCGAAGCAAUCACAGAGCAGGAGGGGCAUCCUGGGAGGAGAGAAAGUGUGUACAUUGUGCUCUGUGCUUCACAAGGCAACCAGGUCAGCCGGAAGAGAUCAGGCCAUGAUGACUGC